rnacentral:ncRNA from 2 species
UUCUUAUCGAGAGAAGCUGAGGGACUGGCCCGAUGAUGCUUCAGCAACCAGCCGUUCGGUCAGGUGCUAAAUCCAGGGACCUAUAACGGUCUGCAGAUAAGAA